rnacentral:misc_RNA from 1 species
GUGAAUCAUCAAAUUUUUGAACGCAAAUUGCACUCUCCUCGGAAAGUAUGCCUGUUUGAGGAUCAGCCUAUAAAAAUCGACAUCGUCGCUGUUUCGCCGUGGCGUUUGUCGGAACUUGGGUCAUCUUAAAUCCUUGUGAUUUCAGCGGCUUAAAAUGCUCUUUUGGGUCCAUGAACGUUU